UUUCCAUGCAAUAUUUAUUGGUU
rnacentral:snRNA from 1 species